UACGUAGGGUGCGAGCGUUGUCCGGAAUUAUUGGGCGUAAAGAGCUCGUAGGCGGCUUGUCGCGUCGACCGUGAAAACUUGGGGCUCAACCCCAAGCCUGCGGUCGAUACGGGCAGGCUCGAGUUCGGUAGGGGAGACUGGAAUUCCUGGUGUAGCGGUGAAAUGCGCAGAUAUCAGGAGGAACACCGAUUGCGAAGGCAGCUCGCUGGGACGUUACUGACGCUGAGACGCGAAAGCGUGGGGAGCAAACAGG
rnacentral:rRNA from 1 species